rnacentral:lncRNA from 10 species
GUGACGUUCCCUACGCGGUCGGGCGUUGGGUUUCGCGGCGCUCGCCGCACUGGUUGUUCAGCACCUUCGGUCCGGUUGAGGUUGUCAAGUCGGACCAAACAGGUUGUUUCUCUGCAGUUUCCAGUAAGUGACCGUUCCAGCCGGGGCUGUGGCUAGAGUGUGAAGGCAAACCGUUACGAAAGAUGAGUAUUUAGUACUCCAUUUGUGCUGUUUUCCUUUUGUGGUAUCAUUCAGCCUUGUGGCUUCAAACAUUGUACUGAAGAUUCUCAGACUUAUUACUACAUGGCAGGGAGGUUUAAUAGACAUGGAUAAGAAGUCCACUCACAGAAAUCCUGAAGAUGCCAGGGCUGGCAAAUAUGAAGGUAAACACAAACGAAAGAAAAGAAGAAAGCAAAACCAAAACCAGCACCGAUCCCGACAUAGAUCAGUGACGUCUUUUUCUUCAGAUGAUCCUAUGUUUCCUUCUUCCUCAUCAUCGUCUUCAGGAAGCCAGACAGAUUCAAGUAUUGAAG